CCCUUAGAUGUUCUGGGCCGCACGCGCGCUACACUGACGAAUGCAACGAGCUUAUAACCUUGGCCGAAAGGUCUGGGUAAUCUCCAAAUUUCGUCGUGAUGGGGAUAGAUUAUUGCAAUUAUUAAUCUUCGACGAGGAAUGCCUAGUAAGCGCAAGUCAUCAGCUUGCGUUGAUUACGUCCCUGCCCUUUGUACACACCGCCCGUCGCUCCUACCGAUUGAAUGGUCCGGUGAAGCGUUCGGACCGUGGCCUUUGGACGGUUCGCCGUCUGUUGGCUGCGGGAAGUUCGUUAAACCUUAUCAUUUAGAGGAAGGAGAANUCGUAACA
rnacentral:rRNA from 1 species